AAGGAGAAGCGCCGGGAACCCGAACUAGAGUGCGUUUCAGGGUGCAUGUAAACGCCCAAGACAGCCAGGAGGCAGCGGCGACGGCGCAGCCUAGGACCGUCGCUAGCUCCCGGCAGGAAGCGGCCGGUUGCCGCCAGGCCUUUUACACCGGGCUGGCCCAGGAUGGGGCCCGCAGCUUUCCAGCCAAGCCAGUGUGAAGCAACAGUCAAGGUAGUUGCAGUUUUACAAAGAAGUCAGCGUUUU
rfam:Pteropus vampyrus cont1.285283, whole genome shotgun sequence.